GGAGAGGUACCAAAGCGGCUUAAUGGGACACACUCGAAAUGUGUUGUAGGGCAACCUACCGCGGGUUCAAAUCCCGCCCUCUCCG
rnacentral:tRNA from 1 species